rnacentral:rRNA from 1 species
CCUACGGGGGGCAGCAGUGGGGAAUAUUGCGCAAUGGGCGCAAGCCUGACCCAGCAACGCCGCGUGAAGGAAGAAGGCUUUCGGGUUGUAAACUUCUUUUCUGAGGGACGAAGAAAGUGACGGUACCUCAGGAAUAAGCCACGGCUAACUACGUGCCAGCAGCCGCGGUAAUACGUAGGUGGCAAGCGUUAUCCGGAUUUAUUGGGUGUAAAGGGCGUGUAGGCGGGAAAGCAAGUCAGAUGUGAAAACUCAGGGCUCAACCCUUGGCCUGCAUUGGAAACUGGUUUUCUUGAGGGCCGGAGAGGCCAUCGGAAUUCCGUGUGUAGCGGUGAAAUGCGGAGAUAUACGGAGGAACACCAGUGGCGAAGGCGGAUUGCUGGACCGUAAAUGACGCUGAGGCGCGAAAGCGUGGGGAGCAAACAGGAUUAGAUACCCCAGUAGUC